GGAUGGGAUCCGAAUUGGCUGAGGACACCGUCUCGAAAACGGCUGGGCUUAACCGCCUUGCGAGUUCGAUUCUCGCACCAUCCG
rnacentral:tRNA from 1 species